UUAAGGGUUAAUGUUGCUUGAAUGUAAGCAUAAUAAAUAUUCAGCAUGUCUCCUAAGACCUGGAGUAUCAUCAGAGACCAAGCUUGGAAAACCACAAAGAAUGACGCCCAGUUUCUAAGAGUCAUUCCGUGCUUUACAAUCAGCCCACAACCACCGAGUCCCAGGAAGCCCAGCCGAGACCGCGGCAGGUCCUGACGCAGCAUCAGCCUGAGUCUGAGCCCAGAGGAAGCUUCUGCUGCCACAAUUGCUGCGUGUGCUCAUGGCUUGGGUGCAGGCCCAACCACAGCGGACCAAGGGCAGGCUGAGAUUUGGCCUGGACUGGAGGGCUGUCUCAAGGAGGUAUCUUAAAUAGUGAAGAUGGAGAAAUAGUCAAUAAUGAAGAGCAUGAAUAUGCAUCCAAAA
rnacentral:lncRNA from 1 species